rnacentral:ncRNA from 1 species
CGGUGACAUCAAGAGUUGGACUGACGUCCAACGCCAACCUGCUGACCGAGCAAGGUGGCGCUUCCGCCAGGAAGGAUGUGGCCAAACCGGCAACGAAACGGGAUCCC